UUGCUUCAGCAGCACAUAUAUUAAAAUUGGAAUGAUACAGAGAAGAUUAGCAUGGCCCAUGCACAAGGAUGACACACAAAUUCAUGCAGUGUUCCAUAUUUUU
rnacentral:snRNA from 1 species